rnacentral:rRNA from 1 species
UGCGUAGGCGGUUAUAUUAGUCGGGUGUUAAAUCCUGGGGCUCAACCUCAGGCUCGCAUUCGAAACGGUAUAACUAGAAGAAGUCAGAGGUAAACAGAACUCUCGGUGUAGGGGUGAAAUCCGUUGAUAUCGAGGGGAAUACCAAAUGCGAAGGCAGUUUACUGGGACUUUCUUGACGCUGAGGCACGAAAGCGUGGGUAGCGAACAGGAUUAGAUACCCUGGUAGUCC